ACAAUUGUGGUAUAGGAGAUUGAUCACAUCAUUAUGCUUGUGAUCUAGUUUCCACGUUGCGACACAAGUAUACACCUCAACUGAUAAGAUAUCAGCACUAAUCAAGCAAAAGUCUGGCAAGGGUCUGGAAGCGGCAUUAGAAUUUGUCACUGUCAAAGAAUUCUUCUACCAUUUAUUCAUUUCGGCUAACCGUAGAGGAUAUAGAGUAUCUGGUACCGUUUUACGCAGGUAUAUGGUGUCAGAAUCUUGAAUGCAGUAUAUGAAGACGUUGGCCAAUAAACUUUUGGUUCUCAUUAAUUACAUAACAGGAUUUUUAUGAAGCUACCUGGGAUGCUGGGGGCAAAGAUCAGGAUGCUGUUAUUUAUGUUAUUGUCAACUUUAGCAGCACCGCUGUAUGUUUCGAC
rnacentral:lncRNA from 1 species